GCCCUGGUAGCUCAACUGGAUAGAGCGGCUGCCUUCGAAGCAGAAGGUUGGAGGUUCGAGUCCUCUCCAGGGCA
rnacentral:tRNA from 1 species